rnacentral:rRNA from 1 species
AGAGUUUGAUCAUGGCUCAGAACGAACGCUGGCGGCGUGGAUAAGACAUGCAAGUCGGACGAGAUUUUUCGUUGUAGCAAUACGAUGGAAAGUCUAGUGGCGAACGGGUGCUUAACACGUGGGCAAUUUGUCUUAAAGUGGGGGAUAGCUCGGCGAAAGCCGAAUUAAUACCGCAUGUGAUUAGAGUGGACAUCCAUUCGAAAUUAAAGGUGGCGCAAGCUACCGCUUUUUGAGGAGCCCGCGGCCUAUCAGCUAGUUGGUGAGGUAACAGCUCACCAAGGCUUUGACGGGUAGCUGGUCUGAGAGGACGACCAGCCACACUGGGACUGAGACACGGCCCAGACACCUACGGGUGGCAGCAGUCGAGAAUUUUUCUCAAUGGGGGAAACCCUGAAGGAGCGACGCCGCGUGGAGGAUGAAGGUCUUCGGAUUGUAAACUCCUGUCAUUGGGGAACAAGUCGCUUACGUUAACUGCGUGAGCGUUGAUAGUACCCGAAGAGGAAGAGACGGCUAACUCUGUGCCAGCAGCCGCGGUAAUACAGAGGUCUCAAGCGUUGUUCGGAUUCAUUGGGCGUAAAGGGUGCGUAGGCGGCGCGGUAAGUCGGGUGUGAAAUCUCGAAGCUUAACUCCGAAACUGCAUUCGAUACUGCCGUGCUUGAGGACUGGAGAGGAGACUGGAAUUUACGGUGUAGCGGUGAAAUGCGUAGAUAUCGUAAGGAAGACCAGUGGCGAAGGCGGGUCUCUGGACAGUUCCUGACGCUGAGGCACGAAGGUCAGGGGGGCAAACGGGAUUAGAUACCCCGGUAGUCC